rnacentral:rRNA from 1 species
ACGAACGCUGGCGGCGUGCCUAAUGCAUGCAAGUCGCACGCAGUCGCUCGGCGGCUGAGUGGCGCACGGCUGAGGAAACACGUGAGAACCUGCCCCCCUGUGGGGGAUAAGCAUCGCGAACGCGCUGCUAAUCCGCAUACGAUCCCGCAAGGGAUGAAAGCAGCAUGCGCAGGAGGAGGGGCUUGCGGCCCAUCAGGUAGUUGGUGUGGUAAUGGCGCACCAAGCCGAUGACGGGUAGCUUGGUCUGUGAGGACGAUCAGCCAGACUGGGACUGAGACACGGCCCAGACUCCUACGGGAGGCAUCGCCAAGGAAUUUUCCCUAUUGGGCGCAAGCCUGAGGGAGCAACGCCGCGUGCAGAACGACGGCCUUCGGGUUGUAACUGCUUUUGGGGGGGGAACGAUAAUGACGGUACCCCCCGAAUAAGCCACGGCUAACUCUGUGCCAGCAGCCGCGGCUAAGACAGAGGGGCAAGCGUUGUCCGGACUACUGGGCGUAAAGCGCAUGCAGGGCGGUCACGGGCGUCGGUGCUGAAAGCGCGCCGCUUAACGGCGCAAUGCGUACCGAUACGCUGUGACUGGAGCAAUUGCAGAGGCCAGUGGAGUUGCCGGUGUAAUGUGGUGAAAUGCGUAGAGAUCGGCAGGACCACCAAGGGGAAGCCGCUAGCUGGGCAUUUGCUGACGCUUCAUAUGCGACAGCGUGGGGAGCGAACUGGAUUAGAUACCCAGGUAGUCCACGCCGUAAACGAUGGACGCUCGGUUGUUGGUGGGUAAUCAGUCCCGCUGGGCGCCUAAGCUAACGCGCAAGCGUCCCGCCUGGGAACUACGAGCGCAAGCUUAAACUCAAAGGGAAUUGACGGGGGCCCGCACAAGCAGCGGAGCGUGUGGUUUAAUAUUCGACGCAACGCGCAGAACCAUUACCUAGCCUUGACAUGUGCCUGCCAAGCCCGUGAAAGCGGGUCGCCUGCGAGGGUGGCACACCGGUGCUGCAUGGCUGUCGUCAGCUCGUGUCGUGAGAUGUUGGGUUAAGUCCCGCAACGAGCGCAACCAACCUACGGCCAGUUACCUGUGUCUGGCCGGACUGCCCGUUUGGGAGGAAGGUGGGGAUGACCGUCCAAGUCCGCAUGGCCCUUACGGCUAGGGCGACCACACACGCUACAAUGGAGCCGACAAUGCGCAGCGACCGUGCAAGCGGAAGCGAAUCGCUUAUAACGGCUCCCCAGUUGCAGAUUGGGGGGCUGCAACUCGCCCCCAUGAAGGCCGGAAUUGCUAGUAACCCGCGUAUCAGCCAUGGCGCGGUGAAUACGUACCCGGGCCUUUGUACACACCGCCCGUCACGUCAUGGGAGUUGUCAAUACCUGAAGUCCGGGGGCCAACCCUUCGGGGGAGCAGCGGCCGAGGGUAGGGACAGCGACUGGGACG